UGAAAGACAUGGGUAGUGAGACGUUAGAAUUUGAAGGUCGUAUCACUAUUCUGUUUUUC
rnacentral:pre_miRNA from 1 species